UGGGGAAUAUUGGACAAUGGGCGCAAGCCUGAUCCAGCCAUGCCGCGUGUGUGAAGAAGGCCUUUUGGUUGUAAAGCACUUUAAGCGAGGAGGAGGCUACUUGGAUUAAUACUCUAGGAUAGUGGACGUUACUCGCAGAAUAAGCACCGGCUAACUCUGUGCCAGCAGCCGCGGUAAUACAGAGGGUGCGAGCGUUAAUCGGAUUUACUGGGCGUAAAGCGUGCGUAGGCGGCUUCUUAAGUCGGAUGUGAAAUCCCUGAGCUUAACUUAGGAAUUGCAUUCGAUACUGGUAAGCUAGAGUAUGGGAGAGGAUGGUAGAAUUCCAGGUGUAGCGGUGAAAUGCGUAGAGAUCUGGAGGAAUACCGAUGGCGAAGGCAGCCAUCUGGCCUAAUACUGACGCUGAGGUACGAAAGCAUGGGGAGCAAACAGG
rnacentral:rRNA from 1 species